AGAAGCUUAGGUUAACCAAUUAAACCAUGGACCUUCAAAGCCCAAAACAAUGGUUAAACUCCAUUAGCUUCUG
rnacentral:tRNA from 1 species